AUUGAACGCUGGCGGCAUGCUUUACACAUGCAAGUCGAACGGUAACAGGCCGCAAGGUGCUGACGAGUGGCGAACGGGUGAGUAAUGCAUCGGAACGUGCCCAGUCGUGGGGGAUAACGCAGCGAAAGCUGCGCUAAUACCGCAUACGAUCUCUGGAUGAAAGCGGGGGACCGAAAGGCCUCGCGCGAUUGGAGCGGCUGAUGUCAGAUUAGGUAGUUGGUGGGGUAAAGGCCCACCAAGCCAACGAUCUGUAACUGGUCUGAGAGGACGACCAGCCACACUGGGACUGAGACACGGCCCAGACUCCGACGGGAGGCAGCAGUGGGGAAUUUUGGACAAUGGGCGCAAGCCUGAUCCAGCAAUGCCGCGUGCAGGAAGAAGGCCUUCGGGUUGUAAACUGCUUUUGUACGGAACGAAACGGUCCGGGUUAAUACCCUGGGCUAAUGACGGUACCGUAAGAAUAAGCACCGGCUAACUACGUGCCAGCCGCCGCGGUAACAC
rnacentral:rRNA from 1 species